GAUGAACGCUGGCGGCGUGCCUAAUACAUGCAAGUCGAGCGAACGGACGAGGAGCUUGCUUCUCUGAUGUUAGCGGCGGACGGGUGAGUAACACGUGGGUAACCUACCUAUAAGACUGGGAUAACUUCGGGAAACCGGAGCUAAUACCGGAUGAUAUAUUGAACCGCAUGGUUCAAUAGUGAAAGACGGUUUUGCUGUCACUUAUAGAUGGAUCCGCGCUGCAUUAGCUAGUUGGUAAGGUAACGGCUUACCAAGGCAACGAUGCGUAGCCGACCUGAGAGGGUGAUCGGCCACACUGGAACUGAGACACGGUCCAGACUCCUACGGGAGGCAGCAGUAGGGAAUCUUCCGCAAUGGGCGAAAGCCUGACGGAGCAACGCCGCGUGAGUGAUGAAGGUCUUCGGAUCGUAAAACUCUGUUAUUAGGGAAGAACAAAUGUGUAAGUAACUAUGCACGUCUUGACGGUACCUAAUCAGAAAGCCACGGCUAACUACGUG
rnacentral:rRNA from 1 species